CAGCCGUAAACUAUGCGCGUUAGGUGUACUGGUGACCACGAGUCACCGGGGUGCCGAAGGGAAACCGUGAAACGUGCCGCCUGGGAAGUACGGUCGCAAGGCUGAAACUUAAAGGAAUUGGCGGGGGGAGCACCACAACGGGUGGAGCCUGCGGUUUAAUUGGACUCAACGCCGGAAAUCUCACCGGAUAGGACAGACAUAUGAUAGUCGGGCUGAAGACCCUGCAUGACCAGCUGAGAGGAGGUGCAUGGCGUAGUCGUGU
rnacentral:rRNA from 1 species